CACUGUAAAACUUUGCUGUAAAUUUACAGCUAAUUUCUAACAGUAUUAUACUGUAUUUUCAUAAAACAGUAACAUUCUGUAUAUUUUACAGAAUGUCUGUAAAUAUACAGUAGUUUUCUGUUUUCAGCCCGUUUCGCUCGUAAUACAGUAUAAUACUGUAGAAGCAUUGCAUUAUGGGAUUGAUUUUUUUUCCACGCUCAUUUUAAAUUUCUAGGCCAGGCAUACAUUUUAGCUUUUCUCCCAACGCUUUUAGUGUUUCACGUCGACUCUUCACGGUUUAAUGUUAUCAUUAAACGAUAUUUGAGUAAAUAUAGUGUGCAGUUUUAAGCUUUCGAAGCGUCAGUUUGCCUGAGACGCGGGAUGACUGGACGCCGCUGCUGAGAAGACGGAGAUGUUAUUUUCCGCCUGAUUAAUCAAAACGUUUGUGCCCGUGUCGAGAAGACGGAUAAACGAUUGUUCGGCUGAGAAUACGUCUGAAUCAUCUGAUGCAGCUCCAUUGUUUACGCUUUGACAUACACCCUAAACAUGGCUCAAGAACCAGAAAGGGGGGAAAAUUGCCUUCUGUGAAAUAUGGUUAUGUUAACGUACUUUGACAUCAACCAUGAACACUG